rnacentral:rRNA from 1 species
AGAUAUGAUCCAGAGUACCACGGGACACGUGAAACCCUGUGGGAAGCAGGAGGGACCACCCUCCAAGGCUAAAUACUACCUAGUGACCGAUAGCGUAUAGUACCGUGAGGGAAAGGUGAAAAGAACCCCGGGAGGGGAGUGAAAUAGAACCUGAAACCCUGCACUUACAAGCUGUGGAAGCACAUUUCUUGUGUGACCGCGUACUUUUUGUAGAACGGGCCAACGAGUUACGUUAAGUAGCAAGGUUAAGCACUUAAGGUGUGGAGCCGUAGCGAAAGCGAGUUUUAACUGAGCGUUCAGUUACUUGACGUAGACCCGAAACCGGGCGACCUACCCAUGAGCAGGAUGAAGCGAAAGUAAAAUUUCGUGGAGGUCCGAACCCACGAGCGUUGAAAAGCUCGGGGAUGACUUGUGGGUAGCGGUGAAAUUCCAAUCGAGCCCGGAGAUAGCUGGUUCUCCCCGAAAUAGCUUUAGGGCUAGCCUCAAGGUGAGAGAUACGGAGGUAGAGCACUGAAUGUCCUAGGGGGUAUUGCACCUACCGAAGACUAUCAAACUCCGAAUGCCGUCAUCUUAUACUUGGGAGUCAGACUGUGGGUGAUAAGAUUCAUAGUCGAAAGGGCAACAGCCCAGAUCGUCAGCUAAGGUCCCUAAAUGUAAGUUAAGUGGUAAAGGAUGUGGGAUUGCACAGACAACCAGGAUGUUGGCUUAGAAGCAGCCACUCAUUCAAAGAGUGCGUAAUAGCUCACUGGUCGAGUGAUCCUGCGCCGAAGAUUUCCGGGGCUAAAACUUACUACCGAAGCUACGGCAUCAGUAAUGAUGGGUAGGGGAGCUUCCCAUACGGGUUGAAGCAUGACCGUAAGGACAUGUGGACAGUAUGGGAGUGAGAAUGUUGGCAUGAGUAGCGAGAUGUGGGUGAGAAUCCCACAGGCCGUAAACCCAAGGUUUCCAGGGGAAGGUUCGUCCGCCCUGGGUUAGUCGGGACCUAAGCUGAGGCCGAAAGGCGUAGGUGAUGGACAACAGGUUGAUAUUCCUGUACUACCGAUAACCGUUUGAGAGAAGGGAUGACACAGUAGGAUAAGCUAAGCACACUGUUGGUUAUGUGUGCCCAAGCAUUGAGGCAGUCAAAGUAGGCAAAUCCGCUUUGAUAAUGCUGGGAUGUGAUGGGGAGCGAAAUUUAGUAGCGAAGUAGCUGAUUUCACACUGUCAAGAAAAGUCUCUAUCGAGGUUAAAGGUACCCGUACCGCAAACCGACACAGGUGGGUGAGGAGAGUAUCCUAAGGCCAGCGAGAGAACUGUUGUUAAGGAACUCGGCAAAAUGACCCCGUAACUUAGGGAUAAGGGGUGCCACCAUCAGGUGGCCGCAGAGAAUAGGCCCAAGCGACUGUUUACCAAAAACAUAGGUUUCUGCUAAGUCGCAAGACGAUGUAUAGGAGCUGACGCCUGCCCGGUGCUGGAAGGUUAAGGGGAUCUGUUAGAGCAAUCGAAGCAGUGAACUUAAGCCCCAGUAAACGGCGGCCGUAACUAUAACGGUCCUAAGGUAGCGAAAUUCCUUGUCGGGUAAGUUCCGACCCGCACGAAAGGCGUAACGAUUUGGGCACUGUCUCAACAACAGACUCGGUGAAAUUGUAAUUCCGGUGAAGAUGCCGGAUACCUGCGACAGGACGGAAAGACCCCAUGGAGCUUUACUGUAGCUUGACAUUGGGUCUUGGUACUACAUGUACAGGAUAGGUGGGAGGCUUUGAAACCAGGACGCCAGUUUUGGCGGAGCCAUCCUUGGGAUACCACCCUUGUAGUACUGGGACUCUAACCAUAGGCCAUGAAUCUGGUCUUGGGACACUGUCAGGUGGGCAGUUUGACUGGGGCGGUCGCCUCCCAAAAGGUAACGGAGGCGCUCAAAGGUUCUCUCAGUACGGUCGGAAAUCGUACGUAGAGUGUAAAGGCAAAAGAGAGCUUGAUUGCAAGACAUACAGGUCGAGCAAGGAUGAAAAUCGGACUUAGUGAUCCGGUGGUUCUGCGUGGAAGGGCCAUCGCUCAACGGAUAAAAGCUACCCUGGGGAUAACAGGCUUAUCUCCCCCAAGAGUCCACAUCGACGGGGAGGUUUGGCACCUCGAUGUCGGCUCAUCACAUCCUGGGGCUGUAGUAGGUCCCAAGGGUUGGGCUGUUCGCCCAUUAAAGUGGUACGCGAGCUGGG